rnacentral:rRNA from 1 species
AACCGAGUUUCAGCGUUAUCCGGCAUCAUUGGGUUUAAGGGUGCGCAGGUGGGAAUGUAAGUCAGUGGUGAAAUACUGCCGCUUAACGGUAGAGCUGCCAUUGAUACUGCGUUUCUUGUAGUAUGGUUGAGGUAGGUGGAAUGUGUUGUGUAGCGGUGAAAUGCAUAGAUAUGACACAGAACGCCGAUUGCGAAGGCAACUUACUAAGCCAUUACUGACGCUGAGGCACGAAAGCGUGGGUAGCGAACAGGAUUAGAUACCCUGGUAGUCCACGCCGUAAACGAUGUUCACUCGCUGUUUGCGAUACACAGUAAGCGGCUGAGCGAAAGCAUUAAGUGAACCACCUGGGGAGUACGAUCGCAAGGUUGAAACUCAAAGGAAUUGACGGGGGCCCGCACAAGCGGAGGAACAUGUGGUUUAAUUCGAUGAUACGCGAGGAACCUUACCUGGGCUUAAAUGUAGAUUGCAUUUCUGAGAAAUCGGGAUUCCCUUCGGGGCUAUUUAACAAGGUGCUGCAUGGUUGUUGUCAGCUUGUGCCGUGAGGUGUUGGGUUAAGUUCCCAAUAACGGAGCGCAACCCCCUAUUCGUUUAGUUGCCAGCGGGUCAAGCCGGGGACUCUAGCGAGACUGCCACCGUAAGGUGAGAGGAAGGUGGGGAUGACGUCAAAUCAGCACGGCCCUUAUGUCCAGGGCUACACACGUGUUACAAUGGCCGAUACAAAGGGCAGCUAACCAGGUGACUGGAUGCUAAUCUUUAAAGUCGGUCCCAGUUCGGAUUGGAGUCUGCAACCCGACUUCCAUGAAGUUGGAUUCGGUAGUAAUCGCGCAUCAGCCAUGGCGCGGUGAAUACGUUACCCGGGCCUUGUACACACCGCCCGUCAAACCAUGGGAGCCUGGGGGUGCCUGAAGUCUGCCACCGAAGGAGCGGCCUAGGGUAAAUAUGAUGGUU